rnacentral:tRNA from 2 species
GGGCCCAUAGCUCAGCUGGUUAGAGCACCUGACUCAUAAUCAGGGGGUCCCUGGUUCGAGCCCAGGUGGGCCCA